UACGGGGGGGGCAAGCGUUGUUCGGAAUUACUGGGCGUAAAGGGCUCGUAGGCGGCCAACUAAGUCGGAUGUGAAAUCCCCAAGCUUAACUUGGGAACUGCAUCCGAUACUGGAUGGCUUGAAUCCGGGAGAGGGAUGCAGAAUUCCAGGUGUAGCGGUGAAAUGCGCAGAUAUCAGGAGGAACACCGGUGGCGAAGGCGGCUUGCUGGGCCUUACCUGACGCUGAGGAGCGAAAGCGUGGGGAGCGAACAGG
rnacentral:rRNA from 1 species